AACCUUUCGUGAUUGGGAUAGGGACUUGCAAUUAUUUCCCUUGAACGAGGAAUUCCCAGUAAGUGCGGGUCAUAAGCUCGCGUUGAUUACGUCCCUGCCCUUUGUACACACCGCCCGUCGCUGCCCGGGACUGAGCCGUUUCGAGAAGAACGGGGACCGUAGACGCUUGGCUCUCACGGGCUUUUCGUUUGUGGAAACCGUUUUAAUCGCAGCGGCUUGAACCGGGCAAAAGUCGUAACAAGGUUUCCGUAGGUGAACCUGCGGAAGGAUCAAG
rnacentral:rRNA from 1 species